rnacentral:rRNA from 1 species
UGAAAAUGGAUGGCGCUGAAGCGUCGUGCUUAUACUCGGCCGUCAGCGGCAUGUGCGGUCGUGAUCCGUGUCAAAGCGGAUCGGCCAUGAAGCUCUGACGAGUAGGAGGGUCGCGGCGGUGCGCGCAGAAGGGCUGGCCGUGAGGCCGUCUGGAGCCGCCGUCGGUGCAGAUCUUGGUGGUAGUAGCAAAUACUCCAGCGAGGCCCUGGAGGACUGACGUGGAGAAGGGUUUCGUGUGAACAGCCGUUGCACACGAGUCAGUCGAUCCUAAGUCCUAGGCGAAAGCCGAUGUUGAUGUGGCGUUUUUUUACAAGUUCUAUUUUUUUAAUAUAAUAAAACGAUUAAAGAACACGCCCGUCGGACGAAAGGGAAUCCGGUUCCUAUUCCGGAACCCGGCAGCGGAACCGUACAAUAGUCGGGCCCUCGCAAGAGAGUUCGUCGGGGUAACCCAAAAAGACCCGAAGACGCCGUCGGGAGAUCCGGGAAGAGUUUUCUUUUCUGCAUAAGCAUUCGAGUUCCAUGGAAUCCUCUAGCAGGGAGAUAUGGUUUGGAAUGCGAAGAGCACCGCAGUUGCAGCGGUGUCCGGAUCUUCCCCUCGGACCUUGAAAAUUCGGGAGAGGGCCACGUGGAGGUGUCGCGCCGGUUCGUACCCAUAUCCGCAGCAGGUCUCCAAGGUGAAGAGCCUCUAGUCGA